UCUAAAAAGGCGUUGCGGAUGAAAUCACGACGAGCGACGAACCACAUCCAAGGAUCUCUCACUCUGCCUUUCCUGCAUGCCUACUGUUGCUGCACUGCAUUACUGCCCUUCAGCAGACAUUCGCAGUCACUGUGAGCCGCUUCUCAUUCAAACCUCUUUGUUAUUUCUUUUUUAAGAUUUAUUUUCAUGACCCAGCUCUUCUGUUCUGGACAUGCCGUUCCGAACAGGGCACACUCUCGCUCUCUGGGUUUUGGGGGGGAUUAACUAACUUAUCCACUCCCUCCUUCGCUAUUCCUCUGGUGGUGGCGGUGGUUGUGGUGGUGAUGUUGUUGUCGCUGUUCUCUCUAGCCUAAGUCUUGCUUAUUUCUUUCGCUUUUUCAUGUCACGGCCGAAUUAAUCUUCUGCUGGUGGAAAUUUUUAUCUGGGCCAAAAUCUUCCUCCCUCGAUGCGCUUUGUCUUUACUUUUGCGCCUUCCCGGCCCCGUUUCCAGUGCCCGUCCCACGACUUGUUCAAUAAAUCCUCCUGGAUAAUCUGUUUUUUUCUCUCAUCUUGCUCUUUGCUUGUUCUCUGUUUGCUUCAUUGUGUGCCUCGUGGCGAGAAUAGGAGUUUUUAUUGGUGUUUAUUAUUAUUGUUAUUAUUAUUAUUAUUAUUAGGAGAAUGAUUAGGGAUUGUUUCAGUUUGAAUGAUAAUAUCUAGUGGUCAACGGGAGUAAAUUCAUUUCGAGCUUGAAAACUUGAUGAAUGGAUAUUUCUACAACGAAAGCCCAUCUAUCCAUGCAUGGUGCAUUUGACCGCUGCGUUGGACUCACGGGCACUGACUGAGGCUCGGGAGAUUUGAACGUCCAUCGAUCAUUAGAUCGCGGCCUUCAUGGUCAGUCCGGGGCUCGUCCAUCCGACCAUGGUGGAUGUUAUUGUAAAUAGUAUGCCGAUCAUGAAUAUUGUGGACCACAACAAUUUGAAAAGGAGUGCAGAGUUUUGUUUGAAUGAUCCGGCGCGAUGGGGCCCACACGGACAUUGAAUUAACCAGCACCAGCAUGAUCAGCGGACCAAAUAGGAUGCUACUUUAGGGGCUCCCGUUUUAGACCCCUCCUUAGACGACCAGAAGGGCAAAAGCAGCAAGGGAUUCCAUUGGGUAAGAUAUAUGCGUCAUUUCCGCUAGAGAGGUAAGGCAAUAGAUGACAAUGAUGAUUCGCAAGCACUUCCAUGGAUUUGGAUUUUGGAUUCAGGUUACCUAUAUAGCAGAAAAGUAGUGGUGACAUCUCCGUCUGCAUACAUAGACCUGAGAAAAAUAAGACUGUUUUGAAUUAAUAAAAGGAACUUGUGCCUCGGUA